ACAACAUAUCUCUGUGAGCAGGCGUGACCAUUAACAAAUCCAAACUGCGCUCGCAGCUGACAACUAAAUGACAUUAUGAAAAUGACAACUGCCCAGAAACUGGUCCCUGAUGUUGACAGGUUGGUUAAAGCCAAGAGAUGUCAGGUGGCUGGAAGCAGCAAGUGAAAAAUGAGUGACACUGUUCGAUGUACUGCAACAUGUAAGCAAAAUGCAUAAUGAAAUAUUGAGUGUUAUAAUAUUGUGAUUCAUUCAUUUUCUGACUAUUCUAUUAUUGUAAAUGUUAUCAUAAAGCGCGAUCCCUCG